AGCGAACGCUGGCGGCAGGCCUAACACAUGCAAGUCGAACGAACCUUUCGGGGUUAGUGGCGGACGGGGGAGUAACACGUGGGAACGUGCCUUUAGGCUCGGAAUAACUCAGGGAAACUUGUGCUAAUACCGAAUGUGUCCCUCGGGGGAAAGAUUUAUCGCCUUUAGAGCGGCCCGCGUCGGAUUAGCUAGUUGGUUGAGGUAAUGGCUCACCAAGGCUACGAUCAGUAGCUGGUCUGAGAGGAUGAUCAGCCACAUUGGGACUGAGACACGGCCCAAACUCCUACGGGAGGCAGCAGUGGGGAAUCUUGCGCAAUGGGCGAAAGCCUGACGCAGCCAUGCCGCGUGAAUGAUGAAGGUCUUAGGAUUGUAAAAUUCUUUCACCGGGGACGAUAAUGACGGUACCCAGAGAAGAAGCCCCGGCUAACUUCGUG
rnacentral:rRNA from 1 species